UGAAGAUGAUAUACAUUGCAUUGAUUGCUUGUAUUCUUUUUUCAAGUUUACAAAUGUAUUCCUCCCAACCACUGUUACCGAAGGACCUUAAGAACCGAGAGAAUUUCCGGUGUCCUGAUAUAAACAGUCCCUAUUGUACCCUGGACGGGACCAAGAGAUACAAGAACGCAUGCGAGGCCUGGAAAGCAUACGAAGAAAAGGUCAAACCUUGUACGUAGCACCAAGUGAUCACGAUGCAUCGAAUGAUAAUGAAGGACAUCAUUUUGAUGGAUCUCAAACUUGAAGUCAGUCAACCCAGGAAAAUCCAGUUUCUGAUAUUGUAUUUUUUAUAUGCUUGUUUUAGUAUUUUGCCUUUUGUUAUUAUUAUACACCUAUUUAUUUACGUGUUUUCUUUUUAUCUGUUAAUAUCCUGUAAAUGGAAGUAAAUAUAUUUAUUUUCCAAA